rnacentral:rRNA from 1 species
AGUGAACGCUGGCGGCGUGCUUAAUACAUGCAAGUCGAAGGUAGUGGCGCACGGGAGUGUAAUAUAUAGCUAAUCUGCCCCUUGCUGGGGGAAAACUGUUAGAAAUGAUUGCUAAUACUCCAUAGCAAGGGGGGAGACUAUAUCGUAUCAGCUAGUCGGGGUGGUAACGGCCCACCGAGGCGAUGACGCGUAACUGGUCUGAGAGGAUGGUCAAUAACGUUCGAACUGAGACACGGUCCAAACUCCGACGGGAGGCAGCAGUAGGGUAUAUUGCGCAACGGGGGAAAGCCUGACGCAGCAACGCCGCGUGAAGGAUGACACUGUGCGGAGAAUAAACUCCUUUUGUUAGGGAAGCGGUACCUAACGAAUAAGCACCGGCUAACUCCGUGCCAGCAGCCGCGGUAAUUC